AGAAUAAGCCCAUGUAUCCAUGCAUAUAUUCAUGCUAAGGCUAAGCAGCUAAUGUAAUCACCACAAAGCUCUUCAGGAUUUUCCCUGUGAACAUGAGGUCGGUGUCAUGGUGUAUUUCCCCAGGGUAGCCUGUGCUGCAGUGCCCCCGCCCCCCUGGGUUAGAGCUCAAGGUGAGAGGAAAACAGAGCCAUAGUUACCCUGGGCGCUCCCUGCACAGGAAGUCAGCUCUCAAUAGGAAAGGUGUAGGUGACAGAUAACACCAGGGAGAAGGCUCUGUAGGCUGUGGUUUCUCUCUCUGUGUCUACGUUAUGUCAUGUGAGGAACUGACAAAUCUCUCAAAUCGCAGGACAAUUUCAUGGGCUGCAGCUGAAGCACAGUAGGUGUUUUGUUGAAUGAGUGAGUGAGCGGAUGGAUGGAAAACCUUGCUCGAGAUUCCUGGCGUCGAGGGGAUAUUCAGAUGCCCAGGUUAUGUAUGUG
rnacentral:lncRNA from 1 species